GACAUAUUCAAGAAUAUCCAUAAGUAAUAACUAUAAGCUUUGUCAUAGAUAACUGUAUUGGCUGUGUUUAAAUGUACAACUCUGUUUUUCUAUUAUUAUGUGAUAUUUCAUGUUGACUUGUCAAACUGAAAAAUACCCAUAUUGAUUUUGCAGAAAGCUUCACAUGUGAGAUAAAUGCACUCAAAGAUUCCUCACAAGUAGCUCUUUGGAGCUUCGGAUGUGAAAUGGAUCAUUCCUCAAUCUGUAAUAGACCCUUCUGUGAAGCUCUUCAAUCAAACCAGAGAAUUCAAGGUUUGCAUUUAAAACACUCUUGGAGCACUAAUUGUAUAAAAUUCUGGUAACUGCACAUUCUCUUUUUAGAGAGGUAAUGAGUGAAUGAAUGAAAAGGCAAGGAUUAUUUGCUAUUCUAAGUGAGGACUGUCAGAGCAUUUCUACUUGACUGAAAUUGUUUUGGAAAGUGAGCUGGAACAAGAAUCUUGCAACUAAAAUGAUGUGACUCUCUAUGUGUUUUUUGGAUGUUUCUUUUAUCAAAGAGUUUUGCAGGACGGUUCUGGGACUUACAAGUUGAUUACCAUUUUAUUUAUAAGAGAAUAAGUGAAUAAUAUGAAAACAUUUUAAGAUAUGCUUACUUGACUGAAGUAAAUGAGAGUCUUUUGAAAGUUCAUUUGAAAUGAUUUGAAAUGGGAUUUUCCUCUUACCAUCACAAUAUUUUUUCAAGAUACAAAUUGCCAUGUUGUGACAAAAUAAAUUAUUGAAAUGCUUUGAAAAUUUUUUAAAAACAUGCCUAAGAAAACAAUAUGUAGACCAUUACAGUUAAUUCAGAUAUCAAUUUAUUAAUAUUGCUGCU
rnacentral:lncRNA from 1 species